rnacentral:rRNA from 1 species
UACGUAGGGUGCGAGCGUUAAUCGGAAUUACUGGGCGUAAAGCGUGCGCAGGCGGUUUUGUAAGCCAGAUGUGAAAUCCCCGGGCUUAACCUGGGAAUGGCAUUUGGGACUGCAAGGCUGGAGUGCGGCAGAGGAGACUGGAAUUCCUGGUGUAGCAGUGAAAUGCGUAGAUAUCAGGAGGAACAGCCGAUGGCGAAGGCAGGUCUCUGGGCUGACACUGACGCUCAUGCACGAAAGCGUGGGGAGCAAACAGGAUUAGAGUACCCGG